rnacentral:rRNA from 1 species
GAUGAACGCUAGCGGCAGGCUUAAUACAUGCAAGUCGAACGGUAAGGUCCCUUCGGGGAUACACGAGUGGCGAACGGGUGCGUAACGCGUACGCAACCUACCCUUAACUGGAGGACAGCCCCGGGAAACUGGGAUUAAUACUCCAUAGUAUUCUUUUAACGCAUGUUAAAAGAAUUAAAGCUCAGGCGGUUAAGGAUGGGCGUGCGUCCUAUUAGCUUGUUGGUGAGGUAAUGGCUCACCAAGGCUACGAUAGGUAGCGGGUCUGAGAGGAUGAUCCGCCACACGGGCACUGAGAUACGGGCCCG